rnacentral:rRNA from 1 species
AGAGUUUGAUCCUGGCUCAGAAUGAACGUUGGCGGCGUGGAUUAGGCAUGCAAGUCGAGCGAGAAGUUUACUUCGGUAAAUGGACAGCGGCGAAAGGGACAGUAAUGUGUAGGUACCUACCCCCCGAUCUGGGAUAGCUGCGGGAAACUGCAGGUAAUACCGGAUAAUGUCUUCGGACCAAAGGUGUGAUUCCGUCAGGGGAGGGGCCUGCAUCCUAUUAGCUUGUUGGUGAGGUAAUGGCUCACCAAGGCAACGAUGGGUAGCGGGUGUGAGAGCAUGACCCGCGUCAUUGGGACUGAGACACUGCCCAGACAUCUACGGAUGGCUGCAGUCGAGAAUCUUCGGCAAUGGGCGAAAGCCUGACCGAGCGACGCCGCGUGCGGGAUGAAGGCCCUCGGGUUGUAAACCGCUGUCGUUGGGGAGGAAAUGCAAAAGGGUUAUCCCUUCUGUUUGACCGAUCCAAGGAGGAAGUACGGGCUAAGUUCGUGCCAGCAGCCGCGGUAAGACGAACCGUACGAACGUUAUUCGGAAUUACUGGGCUUAAAGGGUGCGUAGGCUGCACGGAAAGUUGGGUGUGAAAGCCCUCAGCUCAACUGAGGAAUUGCAUCCAAAACUGCCGUGCUA